rnacentral:miRNA from 1 species
CAUCGAUAGUUUGAGGAUGUA